GAGGGCUUUAAUAUUUAAAGGGGAAAAGUGGGGUGGAGGAGUAAGAGAGAGGGUAUGGGUAUUUAUAUAUUGUAAGGGAAAAGGAGUAGGUAGGGGAAUAAUUAAUUAUGUAUUUGUUUUAUGUUUAGUAAGUUGGUAAUUUAUUAUUAGAUAAGGUGAAUAUAUUUGUGGAGAUAGUUAAUUUUUUAUUUGUUUAGGAAUAAAAGGAAGGGUAGUUUUUU
rnacentral:misc_RNA from 1 species